rnacentral:rRNA from 1 species
AUUGAACGCUGGCGGCAUGCCUUACACAUGCAAGUCGAACGGCAUCGCGGGAAAGCUUGCUUUCCUGGCGGCGAGUGGCGCACGGGUGAGUAACACAUCGGAACGUACCGGCUAGUGGGGGAUAACCCGUCGAAAGACGGGCUAAUACCGCAUACGCUCUUCGGAGGAAAGCAGGGGACCUUUGGGCCUUGCGCUAGUCGAGCGGCCGAUGUCCGAUUAGCUAGUUGGUGGGGUAAAGGCCUACCAAGGCGACGAUCGGUAGCGGGUCUGAGAGGACGAUCCGCCACACUGGGACUGAGACACGGCCCAGACUCCUACGGGAGGCAGCAGUGGGGAAUCUUGGACAAUGGGGGCAACCCUGAUCCAGCAAUGCCGCGCGGGUGAAGAAGGCCUUCAGGUUGUAAAGCCCUUUCGGCAGGGAAGAAAUCGGCGGGGCGAAUAACCCUGCUGGAUGACGGUACCUGCAGAAGAAGCACCGGCUAACUACGUG